AGCUCCAAUAGCGUAUAUUAAAGUUGCUGCGUUUAAAAAGCUCGUAGUUGGAUCUCAGUCUCGAUCGGUCGGUCCAUCCUCUGGGUGGUUACUGGCUCAAUCGGACGUUGUUGGCCACGUUUCCGAGCAUGCUCUUCAUUGAGUGUGUUCCGGAGAGUGGAGCGUUUACUUUGAAAAAAUUAGAGUGCUCAAAGCAGGCGUUGUGCCUGGAUAGUCGUGCAUGGAAUGAUGGAAUAGGGCCUCGGUUCUAUUUUGUUGGUUUCCGGAACUCGAGGUAAUGAUUAAUAGGGACGGACGGGGGCAUUUGUAUUGCGACGUUAGAGGUGAAAUUCUUAGAUCGUCGCAAGACAAACUACUGCGAAAGCAUUUGCCAAGAAUGUUUUCAUUAAUCAAGAACGAA
rnacentral:rRNA from 1 species